CGAACGGAAGUCGUUAUGAUGAUUUCAACACUGACAGAGAACUUGUUCAAAGAAAGUAGAGAUUGACUUAUAACAAUGGCUUUAGUGGCGGACUGGUGAGUAACACGUGAGCAACCUGCCUAUCAGAGGGGAAUAACAGUGAGAAAUCAUUGCUAAUACCGCAUAUGCCAUAAAUAUCACAUGAUGAAAGUGAGAAAGGAGUAAUCCGCUGAUAGAUGGGCUCGCGUCUGAUUAGAUAGUUGGUGGGGUAACGGCCUACCAAGUCGACGAUCAGUAGCCGGACUGAGAGGUUGAACGGCCACAUUGGGACUGAGAUACGGCCCAGACUCCUACGGGAGGCAGCAGUCGGGAAUAUUGCGCAAUGGAGGAAACUCUGACGCAGUGACGCCGCGUAUAGGAAGAAGGUUUUCGGAUUGUAAACUAUUGUCGUUAGGGAAGAUACAAGACAGUACCUAAGGAGGAAGCUCCGGCUAACUACGUGCCAGCAGCCGCGGUAAUACGUAGGGAGCAAGCGUUAUCCGGAUUUAUUGGGUGUAAAGGGUGCGUAGACGGGAAAGCAAGUUAGUUGUGAAAUCCCUCGGCUUAACUGAGGAACUGCAACUAAAACUACUUUUCUUGAGUGUUGGAGAGGAAAGUGGAAUUCCUAGUGUAGC
rnacentral:rRNA from 1 species